GGAGUCACGCCGGGAAUCUUACCAGGAGCGACAGCAGGAUGAAAGUCAAGUUGGAGACUUUACUAGACAAGCUGAGAGGUGGUGCAUGGCCGUCGUCAGCUCGUGCCGUGAGGCGUCCUGUUAAGUCAGGCAACGAGCGAGACCCCCACCGUUAAUUGCUUUCAGCGACCGUAGGGUUGCUGGAGAUAUUUAGCGGGACUGCUACCGCUAAGGUGGAGGAAGGAGGGGGCCACGGCAGGUCAGUAUGCCCCGAAACUCCUGGGCUACACGCGGGCUGCAAUGGUAGGUACAAUGAGUUUCGACCUCGAAAGGGGAAGGUAAUCCCGAAAACCUACCCCAGUUGUGACUGAGGGCUGAAACUCGCCCUCACGAAUCUGGAAUCCCUAGUAAUCGCGUGUCAACAUCGCGCGGUGAAUACGUCCCUGCUCCUUGCACACACCGCCCGUCGCUUCACCCGAGUUGGGUUUGGGCGAGGUAACGCCUAAUUGACGUUGUCGAACCUGAGCUCAACAAGGGGGGAGAAGUCGUAACAAGGUGGCCGUAGGGGAACCUGCGGCCGGAUCA
rnacentral:rRNA from 1 species